AACGAACGCUGGCGGCAGGCUUAACACAUGCAAGUCGAACGCCCCGCAAGGGGAGUGGCAGACGGGUGAGUAACGCGUGGGAAUCUACCCAGAUCUACGGAACAACAGUUGGAAACGACUGCUAAUACCGUACACGCCCUACGGGGGAAAGAUUUAUCGGAUUUGGAUGAGCCCGCGUUGGAUUAGCUAGUUGGUGGGGUAAUGGCCUACCAAGGCGACGAUCCAUAGCUGGUCUGAGAGGAUGAUCAGCCACACUGGGACUGAGACACGGCCCAGACUCCUACGGGAGGCAGCAGUGGGGAAUAUUGGACAAUGGGCGCAAGCCUGAUCCAGCCAUGCCGCGUGAGUGGUGAAGGCCUUAGGGUUGUAAAGCUCUUUCACCGAUGAAGAUAAUGACGGUAGUCGGAGAAGAAGCCCCGGCUAACUUCGUGCCAGCCGCCGCGGUAAAAC
rnacentral:rRNA from 1 species